rfam:Salmo salar isolate Sally breed double haploid chromosome ssa13, whole genome shotgun sequence.
CAAACGGCUCUAUUAAGAGCCUUUCCAACUCUAUUAAAAUAUAUG